rnacentral:rRNA from 3 species
AACAGGGAUUGCCUCAGUAGCGGCGAGUGAAGCGGCAAAAGCUCAAAUUUGAAAUCUGGCGUCUUUGGCGUCCGAGUUGUAAUUUGAAGAAGGUAUCUUUGGGCCCGGCUCUUGUCUAUGUUCCUUGGAACAGGACGUCACAGAGGGUGAGAAUCCCGUGCGAUGAGAUGACCCGGGUCUGUGUAAAGUUCCUUCGACGAGUCGAGUUGUUUGGGAAUGCAGCUCUAAGUGGGUGGUAAAUUCCAUCUAAAGCUAAAUAUUGGCGAGAGACCGAUAGCGAACAAGUACAGUGAUGGAAAGAUGAAAAGAACUUUGAAAAGAGAGUGAAAAAGUACGUGAAAUUGUUGAAAGGGAAGGGCUUGAGAUCAGACUUGGUAUUUUGCAUGCUGCUCUCUCGGGGGCGGCCGCUGCGGUUUACCGGGCCAGCAUCGGUUUGGAGCGGCAGGAUAAUGGCGGAGGAAUGUGGCACGGCUUCUGCUGUGUGUUAUAGCCUCUGACGAUACUGCCAGCCUAGACCGAGGACUGCGGUUUUUACCUAGGAUGUUGGCAUAAUGAUCUUAAGUCGC